AGAAUCAACGCUGGCGGCGUGCCUAACACAUGCAAGUCGAACGAGAAAGUGGAGCAAUCCAUGAGUAAAGUGGCGCACGGGUGAGCAACACGUGACUAACCUACCCUUGAGUGGGGGAUAACCUAGGGAAACCUGGGCUAAUACCGCAUAAUACCUUCGGGUCAAAGGAGCAAUUCGCUUUAGGAGGGGGUCGCGGCCGAUUAGUUAGUUGGCGGGGUAAUGGCCCACCAAGACGAUGAUCGGUA
rnacentral:rRNA from 1 species